rnacentral:rRNA from 1 species
UGGGGAAUCUUGCACAAUGGAGGAAACUCUGAUGCAGCGACGCCGCGUGAGCGAAGAAGCCUUUCGGGGUGUAAAGCUCUUACGCCAGGGACGAUAAUGACGGUACCUGGAGAAGCAGCUGCGGCUAACUACGUGCCAGCAGCCGCGGUAAUACGUAGGCAGCAAGCGUUGUUCGGAAUUACUGGGCGUAAAGGGUGCGUAGGCGGCGCUCUAAGUUUGGUGUGAAAUCUCCCGGCUUAACUGGGAGGGUGCACUGAAAACUGGGGCGUUCGAGUAUGGGAGAGGAAAGCGGAAUUCUUGGUGUAGCGGUGAAAUGCGUAGAUAUCAAGAGGAACACCUGAGGCGAAGGCGGGUUGCUGGGCCGACACUGACGCUGAUGCGCGAAAGCCAGGGGAGCAAACG